rnacentral:rRNA from 1 species
GACAGAGGGUGCAAACGUUGUUCGGAUUUACUGGGCGUAAAGCGUGUGUAGGCGGCUUUGUAUGUCGGAUGUGAAACGCCCACGGCUCAACCGUGGAAGUGCAUCCGAAACUGCAUAGCUUGAGUCCCGGAGAGGAAGGUGGAAUGCUUGGUGUAGAGGUGAAAUUCGUAGAUAUCAAGCAGAACACCUGCGGCGAAGGCGGCCUUCUGGACGGUGACUGACGCUGA